rnacentral:rRNA from 1 species
GUGGGGAAUAUUGGACAAUGGGGGGAACCCUGAUCCAGCCAUGUCGCGUGUGUGAAGAAGGCCUUUUGGUUGUAAAGCACUUUAAGCGAGGAGGAGGCUACUUAGAUUAAUACUCUAGGAUAGUGGACGUUACUCGCAGAAUAAGCACCGGCUAACUCUGUGCCAGCAGCCGCGGUAAUACAGAGGGUGCAAGCGUUAAUCGGAUUUACUGGGCGUAAAGCGCGCGUAGGUGGCCAAUUAAGUCAAAUGUGAAAUCCCCGAGCUUAACUUGGGAAUUGCAUUCGAUACUGGUUGGCUAGAGUAUGGGAGAGGAUGGUAGAAUUCCAGGUGUAGCGGUGAAAUGCGUAGAGAUCUGGAGGAAUACCGAUGGCGAAGGCAGCCAUCUGGCCUAAUACUGACACUGAGGUGCGAAAGCAUGGGGAGCAAACAGGAUUAGAAACCCGGGUAGUCC